CCAGCUCAGCCUUUGCAGGUGGAUGCACAAACACUGGGGCAGCUUCAGGAAAGGAAAAAUCCACAUUUUUCAUGGAAAGAAACAGCUGGUUGUCUUCAGCUCCUUACUUGGGAUAACUGGACUCUGCAAAAUGUGCUGAAUGAGCAGCGAGCCCUAAACUCACCCAUGUUUUCAGGAGUGGGAUAAUCGAUGGAGUGCAUUGGAAAUACUGACAAGAAUUGCAAAUAAUUAGGAUUACUGAAAAGAUGGGGAGAGAUCCAUUACCCAGAGGGACAUCAGGGAGCUGCUCUGCUUUAAUCUUCCUGGCCCUGUUGGUAAGGACAAGGCUUGGGGUCCCCUGAGGAAUAUCCCAGCCCACUGAAUGUUGUAGUGUGUUUUCUUUAGUUUAUUAGCAUGUUUAUUGUUUGAUUGAUGAUGCUGUAAUUCCCUUACGCUGUUCUCUCCCUGCCUUUAGAGUGGCACAGGUUUCCCAUUUUGUAUCUUAUGUUUCUAAAACCAGACUUGGUCCCUCAUUGUUAUUUAGCUUAGUUAAGUGCUGGUUUUUCUGUUUGUUACCUAGCUACUCCCUGCCAAGUUUUAAACCCCCUACCCUUUCCCCAGAACUUCCUUUACACUUCCUUCCAUUAAAUAUCAAUCUCUCCCUGAACCUGCCUUUCCCUUUAGAAACUUCCCUGUCAGUUUUGUAUUCUCCCAAACCCCGUUAGUUUACUGAAGCUGUUCUCCUCCUGUGAAACUCUUCAUUGCUUUACACAUUGCAUUCCCACCUUGUAUCCCACCCCCCAGUUCUCCUGAGUAGUUAAAGAUUGUAUCCUCCCCUGAGACCUCCCCCCCUUUAUAAGCUAUUUUCUGCCCUCAGUUCGGGGUCCUGGGCCCUGGGGAGGGGGAGUUUCACCAUCAAAUAAAACCAGCCCGGGCCCCGUGCUGCUGCCCUUUUGUUUCUGCUCUGUGCCUCCACUGGUAGCUGGGAUUCAGCGCAGCUCAAAGCGGGGUCUGUCCCCCUGUCACCAUCUAGCCGGGACAUGAGACAGCAAAAAGCUCCAUUCCCAAGCUGGGGAGUUUCACAGAAUCACAGAAUUUCCAGGUUGGAAGAGACCUUUAAGAUCAUUGAGUCCAACCCAUGUUCUAACACCUCAACUAGAUCAUGGCACCCAGUGCCACAUCCAGGCUUUUUUUAAAC